UCUCCCACAGAGAGAUAAGAAGCCCAUGGCUGGAGGGAACCGGUCUCUUCUUUUCAUUGUCUCCUAUCAUCUAGUCCUGUGCCUGGCACAAGCAUUUGCUUUGCACCUGUCAGAUGAAUGAAUGCAUGCACAAAAAUGGCAAGGAAUACAGAUAUGUGAAAAUCCUUUCAAUGUUAAAAAUCAUCAAACACGGAUCACAGGAACUGAGGAAUGGGAGCUGUUGAAAGAGUUGCCAUUAACAUUAAAUCAGCCUAUGAGGAGGCCAAGAUGGCAAGAAACUAAAGUCUCUGGCCAACAGACAGUGAGGAGGUGAAGUCUGCCAAUAACCAUGAAAGUGAACUUGCAUCUAGAUCCUUCGACCUGGUCAAGUCUUGAGAUGACUACAGCACCAGCUGGCAUCUUGACUGUAACCUCUAGAGAGACUCUGAGCCAGAAACAAUCAGGGAAGUCUCCUGAAUGAGUUUAAGAUUUAAAAGAAAAAGAAAACAAGGAAAACAAAGGGAAGCCAACAAAUCUGUAAAAGGCAAGAACAGUAACAACGAUAUGGCCAAAACAAGCACUCAUGAUUAAUACAGGUGAGUCAAAUGCUCGGUUAUUUCCCUCCUGAUUGCUAGAAUUAUCUCUGAAAAAAAAAUCACUGAAUCUCCUCUUUGAAGAGUUUAUAGAUAAGUGAAACUAUUUCAUGGAAAUGCUAACCUUAACAUAAAAUGUGGUCUCUUUCACUUCAAAAAACAAAAACAAAGCAAAGGUAAAAUAAGACAAAACAGCUCAGUUUAAUUUCAAACGUUAAUAUAUUUUCUAUUUUAUAUUGAACAUAUGCAUCUGUAACCCCUCAUUUGCAGCAACUAUCACAUCCUCAUAAAAGGGGCAAAAUUUGUAAGAUGCCUCUUAAAAUAAAUAUUCUUUUUUAUAAAAUAAUAAAACUUCAAAUAAAUAUUCUUUACACUAAACAAUAUGUUGAAAAAAUUAGAAAAUAAAGGUUGAAUUUUACUGUAACUGUACAAUAUACAUGAAGUCCAAAGGGAAAUCAGAGUCUUACAAUAAAGGCUUUUCUGUAAGGCAAAAUACAAUCUAAAAACAUACUGAUUGAUUCACAUUCUUCCGAAUGUACAACAUAUUAGUAUAAUAUUUUGUGACUGUGCCAUAUAGCAUGACACAACGUGUUUUUCACAGUUGCAAAUAUUAUUGUAUAUACAAAAAUAUAGCACAUUAUCUCUGGAGAAAACAAUGGGGAAAAAAAAGUCAUCUGCUAAUUUACAAAUUUUGCAAGUACUAUUCACAAACAAAAACUUUGCCUGGGAGUGUCUGUUGUUUUAGCUGAUGCAACACGUGGGUCCCCAAGUUCUGUAUCCCAUACCUUGAGCUCCAUUAGCUGAGUUCUAACAAGCGUAUCAGUUAAAACGGCACAUGGACAAAAAGCAUUUCACUGCAAACAGCGAAGGCUAUCCCAACCCUCUAUUAACAGUGCCAAGAUUCUAACUGUUUAGUUGGUUGCAUAUGCGUUAAAAAAAAAAACAAACAACAAAAGAAGACAA